GACCUUCGGGCCUCUCGCGUCAGGAUAUGCCUAGGUGGGAUUAGCUAGUUGGUGAGGUAAUGGCUCACCAAGGCGACGAUCCCUAGCUGGUCUGAGAGGAUGAUCAGCCACACUGGAACUGAGACACGGUCCAGACUCCUACGGGAGGCAGCAGUGGGGAAUAUUGCACAAUGGGCGCAAGCCUGAUGCAGCCAUGCCGCGUGUGUGAAGAAGGCCUUCGGGUUGUAAAGCACUUUCAGUCGUGAGGAAGGUGGUGUAGUUAAUAGCUGCAUUAUUUGACGUUAGCGACAGAAGAAGCACCGGCUAACUCCGUGCCAGCAGCCGCGGUAAUACGGAGGGUGCGAGCGUUAAUCGGAAUUACUGGGCGUAAAGCGCAUGCAGGUGGUUUGUUAAGUCAGAUGUGAAAGCCCGGGGCUCAACCUCGGAAUAGCAUUUGAAACUGGCAGACUAGAGUACUGUAGAGGGGGGUAGAAUUUCAGGUGUAGCGGUGAAAUGCGUAGAGAUCUGAAGGAAUACCGGUGGCGAAGGCGGCCCCCUGGACAGAUACUGACACUCAGAUGCGAAAGCGUGGGGAGCAAACAGGAUUAGAUACCCUGGUAGUCCACGCCGUAAACGAUGUCUACUUGGAGGUUGUGGCCUUGAGCCGUGGCUUUCGGAGCUAACGCGUUAAGUAGACCGCCUGGGGAGUACGGUCGCAAGAUUAAAACUCAAAUGAAUUGACGGGGGCCCGCACAAGCGGUGGAGCAUGUGGUUUAAUUCGAUGCAACGCGAAGAACCUUACCUACUCUUGACAUCCAGAGAACUUUUCAGAGAUGGAUUGGUGCCUUCGGGAACUCUGAGACAGGUGCUGCAUGGCUGUCGUCAGCUCGUGUUGUGAAAUGUUGGGUUAAGUCCCGCAACGAGCGCAACCCUUAUCCUUGUUUGCCAGCGAGUAAUGUCGGGAACUCCAGGGAGACUGCCGGUGAUAAACCGGAGGAAGGUG
rnacentral:rRNA from 1 species